AAGACUUGAGAUUUUUUGUUCAGGCUGGCUUCAAACCAUGAUCCUCAGAUCUCAGCCUUCUGAAAAGCUAGGAUGACAUGUGUGAACCACU